rnacentral:misc_RNA from 1 species
AAGUCGUAACAAGGUAUCCGUAGGUGAACCUGCGGAUGGAUCAUUAACACAAAUCCCCCAAAAAAAGAGGAGCCAAAUUCGUUUGGUUUCCUUUUUUUUUUAACACACCCCACUUUUAAGCGAACUUGUCAACGGAAAGUUUCUCUGACUCUAUUGUGGAUUGAGUCAUUCCAAGGAGUUACUUGCCGUUCGUUUUUUUCACCUUUUUUUUUUCUCUUAACCACACAAACCUAAAACAAAAAAAUUGACUUAAACUAUUUUUUUUCAGAUGAAAGUCUGGGGAAAAAAAAAUUAACUAAUGUACAACUCUUAACAACGGAUAUCUUGGCUCUC